rnacentral:rRNA from 1 species
CAGCACCACUCGACCGAGAAACACGAUGACAGUGACACGCUGGGCGAAAUCGGGGAGAAGGCAAGGACGACGGCGGAUGAGUUCCUGAAGAUGGCCAAGGAGAAGACCGACGAUGUCGCCAAGCAUGCAAAGGAGACGGUGCAGGAGAUGGUGGUGCUCGGCGAGUCCGACGAUGACAAGGACAAGUUCAAGCAGUGGGUCGAGCAGGGGAGGUACGAUCAGAAAUAA